UCCGUAGGUGAACCUGCGGAGGGAUCAUUACCGAGUUUACAACUCCCAAACCCAAUGUGAACGUUACCAAACUGUUGCCUCGGCGGGGUCACGCCCCGGGUGCGUCGCAGCCCCGGAACCAGGCGCCCGCCGGAGGAACCAACCAAACUCUUUCUGUAGUCCCCUCGCGGACGUAUUUCUUACAGCUCUGAGCAAAAAUUCAAAAUGAAUCAAAACUUUCAACAACGGAUCUCUUGGUUCUGGCAUCGAUGAAGAACGCAGCGAAAUGCGAUAAGUAAUGUGAAUUGCAGAAUUCAGUGAAUCAUCGAAUCUUUGAACGCACAUUGCGCCCGCCAGUAUUCUGGCGGGCAUGCCUGUCCGAGCGUCAUUUCAACCCUCGAACCCCUCCGGGGGAUCGGCGUUGGGGAUCGGGACCCCUCACACGGGUGCCGGCCCCGAAAUACAGUGGCGGUCUCGCCGCAGCCUCUCCUGCGCAGUAGUUUGCACAACUCGCACCGGGAGCGCGGCGCGUCCACGUCCGUAAAACACCCAACUUUCUGAAAUGUUGACCUCGGAUCAGGUAGGAAUACCCGCUGAACUUAAGCAUAUCAAUAAGCGGAGGA
rnacentral:rRNA from 1 species